rnacentral:rRNA from 1 species
UUCUACGGCCACACCUAGGCGAAAACACCAGUUCCCGUCCGAACACUGCAGUUAAGUGAAAAUGUCUGAGGGUCUCCGUCUCGUUCAUACUAUGGUUGGAGACAACAUGGGAAUUCGGGGUGUUGCUGGCU